rnacentral:misc_RNA from 1 species
CCUCCUUACCAUUACGUCGAAAGACGCACUUGAUGCAGUGCCUACACAGAUUGUUUUGUUUAUUUAUAGACUCGCUUCGCGAGUGUCGCGAUUAACUGCUUUACCGGAAGGGAACCCGUAACGGGCCUGGCUUCCUGACAGUUAAUCUGCUCGCUAAAGUGGUAGUUGUUUUAACGUAGAAUGCUAAUUAAUGAUCGCAUCAUUGAUUAGUGUUUUUUAAAAACACUAAUGUUCUUUAACAAUUUGGAAAGCUGAUAUUAAUAGUAAUCAAUCAAAAUUGAGUAACUGAGAAGUCGAAAGACGUACUUUUUACUCUACUUGACUGAAUUGCUUGUUAUCAAUUUAUUGAUAGCAAGGCAAUUCUUCCGAUUAGCUUGUCAUCCAUACGACAUAACUUAGACAGAAGUCAAAAGGCUGUUUGGGGUUGUAUGGGUUAAGUGACAAAGCGUAUACGGUGGAUGC